AUCGCUCAUUUCAUGAAUGAAAAUUUGACAGGAAGUUGCGCCCAAGCCCGUGAGUGUUAAUAUCAAUAUCAACACUGUUGUCGUUUCGUAAAAUAGACUAUUCCAACUCCGACACAGCGUUACCAGAUCUACGGAAAUUUCCGUAGAUCUACACUGAACGAAAACAUCCUCCCAAAAACGAGUGAUUCAUCUUUCGCCACCAUCCGAAAUCUUAUUGGCCCAACUUUAUAUGAUUAAUGCGACCGAAUGUCAAAUCACAGCUUCAUCAGAUGAUUGCCAGUUGAAUACUGUCUUGUGACGACAACGCUUACAGGAUGAUCCCUCAUUCGAUUUUUGGAGGAUAGGACAGUAACAGACAAUCAUCCGAAAACUGGAUGACGUUUUGAUCGCUCGUGCCCCAAAACGCAAAUCAGUCGCUCUGCGGUUGCCUUCCUACCGCUUUUUGGAUGAUUUGUCACCCGUUUUUGGAAUACGUCGCAAUCGCCGUUGGAGAGCUGUCGUCGAUACGGAGUGAAGUCCGCCAUUGCUUUUUCACUCCGAAACGAGAAAGACGCCGAAUCAUCUUUCCACUUUAAGAAAGUCAUCUUGCUGCUGCGCUUUUAAUCGACGAAGCGAGAUUGUAAGGGCCACAAGUGGAAGAUAAAUCUUCAUCUCGCUCACCGAAAUGGCCGGUGGUUUCACCGAACCGAACACGCCGACGUUUACAGGCUCCCACCCAUGGACGGCGACUCCAAAUGUUUGAAUUUUAAUAACAUUUUAGAUUAUAAAGUGUUCUUUGCAAUGUUAAAAGAUGAAUCUGAGGAAGCGUCAUAACUUUUUACUGGAAUCAAUAAAAUCAUAAGAAAUAGA